UUUAUAGCCUCUGGCUAUAGGAAAUUGUUAGUGGCAGACGGGUGAGUAAUGCGUAGGAAUCUACCUAGUAGUACGGAAUAGCCAUUAGAAAUGGUGGGUAAUACUGUAUAAUCCCCGAGGGGGAAAGAUUUAUCGCUAUUAGAUGAGCCUACGUUAGAUUAGCUAGUUGGUGAGGUAAUGGCUUACCAAGGCUAUGAUCUAUAGCUGGUCUGAGAGGACGAUCAGCCACACUGGAACUGAGAUACGGUCCAGACUCCUACGGGAGGCAGCAGUGGGGAAUAUUGGACAAUGGGCGAAAGCCUGAUCCAGCUAUGCCGCGUGAGUGAAGAAGGCCUUCGGGUUGUAAAACUCUUUCAAUAGGGAAGAUAAUGACGGUACCUAUAGAAGAAGUCCCGGCAAACUCUGUGCCAGCAGCCGCGGUAAUACGGAGGGGGCAAGCGUUGUUCGGAAUUAUUGGGCGUAAAGGGCACGUAGGUGGACUAGUAAGUUAAAAGUG
rnacentral:rRNA from 1 species